CCUACGGGUGGCAGCAGUGGGGGAUAUUGCACAAUGGAGGAAACUCUGAUGCAGCGACGCCGCGUGAGGGAAGACGGUCUUCGGAUUGUAAACCUCUGUCUUUGGGGAAGAAAAUGACGGUACCCAAAGAGGAAGCUCCGGCUAACUACGUGCCAGCAGCCGCGGUAAUACGGAGGAUGCGAGCGUUAUCCGGAUUUAUUGGGUUUAAAGGGUGCGUAGGCGGAAUGCCAAGUCAGCGGUAAAAUCGCGGGGCUCAACCUCGCUCCGCCGUUGAAACUGGCGUUCUUGAGUGGGCGAGAAGUAUGCGGAAUGCGUGGUGUAGCGGUGAAAUGCAUAGAUAUCACGCAGAACUCCGAUUGCGAAGGCAGCAUACCGGCGCCCAACUGACGCUGAAGCACGAAAGCGUGGGUAUCGAACAGGAUUAGAUACCCGGGUAGUC
rnacentral:rRNA from 1 species